rnacentral:rRNA from 1 species
UGAACGCUAGCUACAGGCUUAACACAUGCAAGUCGAGGGGCAGCAUGGUCUUAGCUUGCUAAGGCCGAUGGCGACCGGCGCACGGGUGAGUAACACGUAUCCGACCUGCCGUCUACUCUUGGACAGCCUUCUGAAAGGAAGAUUAAUACAAGAUGGCAUCAUGAGUCCACAUGUUCACAUGAUUAAAGGUAUUCCGGUAGACGAUGGGGAUGCGUUCCAUUAGAUAGUAGGCGGGGUAGCGGCCCACCUAGUCUUCGAUGGAUAGGGGUUCUGAGAGGAAGGUCCCCCACAUUGGAACUGAGACACGGUCCAAACUCCUACGGGAGGCAGCAGUGAGGAAUAUUGGUCAAUGGGCGAGAGCCUGAACCAGCCAAGUAGCGUGAAGGAUGACUGCCCUAUGGGUUGUAAACUUCUUUUAUAAAGGAAUAAAGUCGGGUAUGCAUACCCGUUUGCAUGUACUUUAUGAAUAAGGAUCGGCUAACUCCGUGCCAGCAGCCGCGGUAAUACGGAGGAUCCGAGCGUUAUCCGGAUUUAUUGGGUUUAAAGGGAGCGUAGAUGGAUGUUUAAGUCAGUUGUGAAAGUUUGCGGCUCAACCGUAAAAUUGCAGUUGAUACUGGAUAUCUUGAGUGCAGUUGAGGCAGGCGGAAUUCGUGGUGUAGCGGUGAAAUGCUUAGAUAUCACGAAGAACUCCGAUUGCGAAGGCAGCCUGCUAAGCUGCAACUGACAUUGAGGCUCGAAAGUGUGGGUAUCAAACAGGAUUAGAUACCCUGGUAGUCCACACGGUAAACGAUGAAUACUCGCUGUUUGCGAUAUACUGCAAGCGGCCAAGCGAAAGCGUUAAGUAUUCCACCUGGGGAGUACGCCGGCAACGGUGAAACUCAAAGGAAUUGACGGGGGCCCGCACAAGCGGAGGAACAUGUGGUUUAAUUCGAUGAUACGCGAGGAACCUUACCCGGGCUUAAAUUGCAGAUGAAUUACGGUGAAAGCCGUAAGCCGCAAGGCAUCUGUGAAGGUGCUGCAUGGUUGUCGUCAGCUCGUGCCGUGAGGUGUCGGCUUAAGUGCCAUAACGAGCGCAACCCUUGUUGUCAGUUACUAACAGGUUCUGCUGAGGACUCUGACAAGACUGCCAUCGUAAGAUGUGAGGAAGGUGGGGAUGACGUCAAAUCAGCACGGCCCUUACGUCCGGGGCUACACACGUGUUACAAUGGGGGGUACAGAGGGCCGCUACCACGCGAGUGGAUGCCAAUCCCAAAAACCUCUCUCAGUUCGGACUGGAGUCCGCAACCCGACUCCACGAAGCUGGAUUCGCUAGUAAUCGCGCAUCAGCCACGGCGCGGUGAAUACGUUCCCGGGCCUUGUACACACCGCCCGUCAAGCCAUGGGAGCCGGGGGUACCUGAAGUGCGUAACCGCGAGGAGCGCCCUAGGGUAAAACUAGUGACUGGGGC